rnacentral:lncRNA from 1 species
GGGCCCAGUUCCGGGCGGGGCGUUUCCCCAGCUGCACGGCCGGCGGCCGCGUAGGGUUGGGUGCUGGCGGUUAGCCUCGUCCGGAUUCGAUUUUUUCGGUGACAAGGGUCUGAACGGAGCCCCGGGUCCUCCUUGGCGUAUCUCCUCGCGGGCCAGCCUGGUGGCACAGCAGUUAAGUUCGCACAUUCUGCGUUGGCAGCCUGGGGUUCGCCGGUUCGGAUCCCGGGUGCGGACAUGGUACCGCUCAUCAAGCCAUGCUGUGGGUCCCUAGGAGUCAGAAUUGACUUGAUGGCACUAACAACGAGAUAGUCAUCUAUAUGGUCUAGGAGCUUCAGCAGGCAAGGAAUGCCCCAUACCACAUGUUGAUUGCCCAAGAUCCAGAUCCAGGCUAGCCAUGCUGUAAAGAGCAGCUUCCUGCUUACUAGGUACUGCAGAACCAGGGAAAAUAGUACCAAUGAAUGCGAGCAACCUUGUGUUUUCCUGAUCUUAAAGAGAAUACAUCUAAAUUUUUUCCAUUAAGUAAAAAGUUUGCUCCUGGAAAGCAGAUAUGAUAACUGAACUUUCAAGCAGCCACUUGGUGAUUUUAAGGGUGGAAGCUUCAUGCUAAGAAUGGUGGAGAAGAAAGCCUGGCUCCUCUGUGGCUUUGUGGAGCAGCUUUAUUAGCCUUUGACUGCCUGUUUCCCUGGACUUCCAUUAGGUGGGAAAUGAGCCCUUAUAUGUCGCUAUGGAUGUGCCUCUGUUUCGAGCAGCAACUGAACAUAAUUCCUAGCUGGUCCAGGUGUCUUGUUAUUCAGGCCCGCGAGCUCUUAUUCCUGGAGGUAUCAGGUACCUGGUCCCAUCUUGUGUACUGCAGGAGGGCCACAGCCCUGCCCUGGUUUUUAUUCUUCCUGAGACUCUCUGCAUCUUUAAAAGAACCAGCACCAGAGGAAGACGAUUUCCUUACACUGUAACACAGUCAUCCCCCCUUACCCAUGGGGAUACGGUCCAAGACCCUGCAGUGGAUGCCUGAAACCAGGAUAGUCCCGAACCCAGAAAUACUAUGUUUUUUCCGAUACAUACAUACCUAUGAUAAAGUUUAAUUUAUAAAUUAGGCACAGUAAGAGAUGAACAAUAGCUAAUAAUGAAAUAAUAUAAUUAUAACAAUAUGCUGUAAUAAAAGUAUGUGAACGUGG